GACGAACGCUGGCGGCGCGCUUAACACAUGCAAGUCGAGCGAGAACCCUCCUUCGGGAGGGGGACAGCGGCGAACGGGUGAGUAACACGUGGGUAAUCUGCCCUCGGUUCUGGGAUAGCCCGGGGAAACCCGGAUUAAUACCGGAUAGCCUCUCGAGCUCCCGGGCUCGUGAGAAAAGGUAGCUUCGGCCUCCGAUCGAGGAGGAGCCCGCGGCGGAUUAGCUUGUUGGUGGGGUAACGGCCCACCAAGGCGACGANCCGUAGCUGGUCUGAGAGGACGAUCAGCCACACUGGGACUGAGACACGGCCCAGACUCCUACGGGAGGCAGCAGUGGGGAAUCUUGCGCAAUGGGCGAAAGCCUGACGCAGCGACGCCGCGUGAGGGAAGAAGGCCUCGGUUGUAACU
rnacentral:rRNA from 1 species